GGCCGUGUGGCGAAAUGGCAUCGCGUCUGACUACGAUCACGUGGAUGAUUCUGUAAUCAGGAGACUCUAGGUUCGACCCCUAGCUCGGUCA